rnacentral:rRNA from 1 species
UACGGAGGAUCCAAGCGUUAUCCGGAAUCAUUGGGUUUAAAGGGUCCGUAGGCGGUUUAAUAAGUCAGUGGUGAAAGCCCAUCGCUCAACGAUGGAACGGCCAUUGAUACUGUUAAACUUGAAUUACUAUGAAGUAACUAGAAUAUGUAGUGUAGCGGUGAAAUGCUUAGAUAUUACAUGGAAUACCAAUUGCGAAGGCAGGUUACUAAUAGUAUAUUGACGCUGAUGGACGAAAGCGUGGGGAGCGAACAGG